AUGAAUCAAGGUCUUAUCCUAGCCUCUGCUUGGAGAAUUGCCAACUCUCCCAGCUCACAUCUGCAUCUUGUUCUUAAGUCCAAAUAUUUUUGGGACUCUUCUUUUUGGACUGCCACCUCUAGCGCUCCAAAAUUGGCCUUCUGGUCCUCCAUUCUCAAGAUGCUCCCUAAACUCAAAGCUCACUCCUUCUAUCAGAUCACUCAAGGAAAAAAUUCCAUUUGGAGUACUCCCUGGUGCCCAGCUUGGACUGAUAUCUACAAUCAUCUCAUUAUUCAACCUACAAACUUUACUUAUCCUGCUCAAGUCAAAGAUCUUUGGCUCCAAGAACAGAAAGCCUGGAACAAUGUUCUCAUCUAUUCUAUUUUUCAAGAACCCACAACCUCUGUUAUUACUCAAACCAAGAUCAUUCAAGAUGACUGUGGUGAUAUUCUUUGCUGGGAUCUCAUGCCUAAUGUUUGGAAGCAAAAGCAUAUGGUGCCAAGGGUCCAAACAUUUGCAUGGAGACUUCUUGGAAAAGCCCUUCCUACAGGUUGCAGAGCUAGCCGUUUUUCUAGGCAUAUUACUAAAGCAUGUUGUCGUUGUUCGCAAGAUGAGGAUGAAAUGCAUCUCUUUUUCCUAUGUCCGUUUGUGAGAGCAUCUUGGUUUGCUCAUCCUUGGAAAUGUACUUUCCCUCAUCAGGUACAUCUUGUUGCGCUGGCCAUGGCUGAAUGCAACACUGUCCAAGAGGUUCCUCCUGACAAUCCUAAUUCUACUAUCCAUGCUCAUAUUAACAGGGACAACAAUUUGGACAAUAGAAGUAUCCAAGUUCAGAUUCAAGCAUCCGCACCACUAACUUCGUCACCUCUACAAGCAGAAGCACAAGCUCUUCUUCUUGCUGCCAAAGCAGCGCAGAUCUUACAAGUCGAGCAGCCCACGUUUCUCACCAACAAUAUUUCUCUUGCCAAGGCGGCGGCGAACAGGAAUGACUAUCCAAAAUCUACACCUGCAGGUGUUCCAUAUAUCUAG
rnacentral:rRNA from 1 species